UCUUCAUGUGGGAGUUUUUGG
rnacentral:piRNA from 1 species